CUCUUAGAUGUUCUGGGCCGCACGCGCGCUACACUGUUCGACGCAGCGAGUCUUAACCUUGACCGAAAGGUUUGGGUAAUCUUCAGCAAAGUCGAACGUGAUGGGGAUCGAUCAUUGCAAUUAUUGAUCGUGAACGAGGAAUUCCUAGUAAGUGCAAGUCAUCAGCUUGCGCUGAUUACGUCCCUGCCCUUUGUACACACCGCCCGUCGCUACUACCGAUUGAAUGGUUUAGUGAGAUCUCUGGAUUGACGCUGGCUAGGGGGCGACCCUUGGCCAGACUGCUCGAGAAACUGCUCAAACUUGAUCAUUUAGAGGAAGUAAAAGUCGUAACA
rnacentral:rRNA from 1 species